rnacentral:rRNA from 1 species
GUGGCAAGUCUUCCAGUAUGGGGAGCAAACAGCUAUGGGUCAAGCCCGAUACCUUUAAGAGAAGUCUUAUUGUGAGGGCGAGUUUUAUAACACCAUAGGGCUGGCCGUCCCAUAUGAAAAGAUUUUAUUAGAAUUGAAUGAAACUUUGUUUAUAUAUUGAUAAUGACAGUAUAUAUAUCGUGUCUUGACUAAUUGCGUGCCAGCAGUCGCGGUAAUACGUAAGAGACUAGUGUUAUUCAUCUUAAUUAGGUUUAAAGGGUACCCAGACGGUCAAUAUAGCUUAUAAAAUGUGAGUAUAUGACUAGAGUUUUAUGAAAGAGGGCAGUACUUGAGGAGGAGAGAUGAAAUUUCGUGAUACCAAAGGGACUCUGUAAAGGCGAAGGCAGCCCUCUAUGUAAAAACUGACGUUGAAGGACGAAGGCACAGAGAACAAACAGGAUUAGAUACCCAAGUAGUCUUUGCAGUAAAUGAUGAAUGCCAUAGGUUA